GAUGAACGCUGGCGGCGUGCCUAAUACAUGCAAGUCGAGCGAACGGACGAGAAGCUUGCUUCUCUGAUGUUAGCGGCGGACGGGUGAGUAACACGUGGAUAACCUACCUAUAAGACUGGGAUAACUUCGGGAAACCGGAUCUAAUACCGGAUGAUAUUUUGAACCGCAUGGUUCAAAAGUGAAAGACGGUCUUGCUGUCACUUAUAGAUGGAUCCGCGCUGCAUUAGCUAGUUGGUAAGGUAACGGCUUACCAAGGCAACGAUGCAUAGCCGACCUGAGAGGGUGAUCGGCCACACUGGAACUGAGACACGGUCCAGACUCCUACGGGAGGCAGCAGUAGGGAAUCUGCCGCAAUGGGCGAAAGCCUGACGGAGCAACGCCGCGUGAGUGAUGAAGGUCUUCGGAUCGUAAAACUCUGUUAUUAGGGAAGAACAUAUGUGUAAGUAACUGUGCACAUCUUGGCGGUACCUAAUCAGAAAGCCACGGCUAACUACGUG
rnacentral:rRNA from 1 species